rnacentral:lncRNA from 1 species
GUGCAGUGGCACAAUCUCGGCUCGCUGCAACUUCCACCUCCCAGGGUCAAGUCAUUCUCUUGCCUCUGCCUCCCGAGUAGCUGGGAUUACAGGCACACACCAUCACACCCAGCUAAUUUUUGGAUUUUAGUAGAGACGGGGUUUCACCAUGUUGGCCAGGCUGCUCUCGAACUCCUGACCUCACGUGAUCUGCCCUCCACAGCCUCCGAAAGUGCUGAUAUUACCGGUGUGAGCCACCAUGCUCAGCCCUCAAUCAUAUUUUUUGUUUCUUCUUGUCACUUUAAACUUUAUAGUUGCUUCUUGCUUUUUUUUUUUUUUUUGAGACAGGGUCUCACUGUCAUUCAGGCUGGAGUGCAGUGGCAAAAUCAUGACUUACUGUAGCCUCAAACUCCUGGGCUCAAGUGAUCUUCCCACCUCAGCCUCCCAAGCUGAGACUACAGGGACGUACCACCACACCCGGCUCAUUUUAAAAUUUUUUGUAAAGAUGAGGUCUCACUAUGUUGUCCAGGCUGGUCUUGAAUUCCUGGCCUCAAGUGAUCCUCUUUCUUGGCCUCCCAAAGUGCUGUGAUGACAGGCGUGAGCCACUGUUGCCCUCUUUUUAUCUUGUCUUUUAUUACAGUUUUGAUUUUUCCAUUAAUUUAAUAUUUUUUCUUUAUUAAAUGCUUUUUUGGCCAGGCACAGUGGCUCAUGCCUGUAAUCCUAGCACUUUGGGAGGCCGAGGCGGGCAGAUCACCUGAGGUCAGGAGUUCAAGACCAGCCUGGCCAACAUGAUGAAAUGCCAUCUCUACUAAAAUACAAAAAUUAGCCGUGCAAGAUGGCAGGUGCCUAUAAUCCCAGCUACUCCAGAGGCUGAGAUGGGAGAAUCACUUGAACCCGGGAGACGGUGAUUGCAGUGAGCUGAGAUUGAGCCACUGCACUCCAGCUUGGGCGGCUGAGUGAGAGUCCAUCUCAAAAAAAAAAAAAUUAAAUAAAUAAAUAAACAAAUGCUUUUUAAAAAAUAACUUACUUUCUCUUGAUUUAUUAAAUGGAAGGCAUAAGCACAGUUCUAAUGUGCGGCUGUGCUGUGCAGAUGACCCACAGCUUAAGCUAAGGGGGCCAGAAGUUUUUCCCCUCUGUUUUGUGGUGCUGGCUUCCUUUAAUGGGCACAUAUUAUCUUCCUAGUUAAAAAAAUCUUAACCUGAUUGAUAUAGGAGACCUGCUGGCCAGAAGUUCCCCUAAGGUUAAGAUUCCCAUUCCCUGGUGUACAAACCCUGAAUAAUCCCUUCCCCUUGAGUGUGGGUGGGACAUGUAAAUAUCCCACUCCUGUGUACCACCUUUGGGCUGAUGACUCUCUAACCCAGGGGUUGGCAGACUUUUUCUGAAAGGGCCACAUGGCUUUGUGGGCCAUACAGUCUCUGUUGCAAAUACUCAACUCUGCUGCUGUAUUAUGAAAGCAGGCAUAAGGAAUACAGAAAUGGAGUUGGGCACAGUAGUUCAUGCCUAUAAUCCCAGCACUUUGGGAGGCCAAGGUGGGAGGAUUGCUUGAGGUUAGGAGUUGAGGACCAGCCUGGACAACAUAGGGAGACCCCAUCUCUACAAAAACUAAAAAUAAAAAAUUAGCCAGGUGUGGUGGUGCAUGUCUGCAGUCCUAGCUACUUGAGAGGUUGAGGCAGGAGAAUCUUUUGAGCCCAAGAGUUCAAGUUACAGUGAGCCAUGAUCAUACCACUGCAUUCCGCCCUAAGUGAUAGAGCAAGACCCUAUCUCUUAACUAACUAACUAACUAACUAAAUAAAUAAAUAAAUCAGAAUGAAUGGGCUUGACUGUGUUUCAAUAAUGCUUUAUUUGCAAAACAGGCUGCCAGCCCCCUGGCCAUGGUUUACUGACUCUAAACCAUAUCACCUUCCCCAGACCCUUCUCCUGGACUCCAGAUGCACCUCCACCUGCCCUCUGGGCAUCUCAUCUUAGCUGUCUCAGAGGCAGGUCAGACUCAUCUCCUCCUGUAGUCCACUCCUGACACCUAGUUUUUUCCUGUGUUCUCUGUCUUAUAAACCAUAUCCCCAUCUUGUCAAGUGCUGGAGUCGGAAAACCAGACAUGAUCUCCCCUCAUCUCUCUCCCCAACGUCCCAUAUCUAAUCAGUCACCAAUUAGUCUAAUUUCUAAAGUUAUCUCAGAUCUAUGCCCUUGAUUCCAUCUGUACUGCUACCAAUCACUAUUUCCUAUCUCAAAUACCAUGACAGUCCCCUGCAGUGGGCAGAAAAAUGGCCUGGCAAAGAUGUCCACAUCCUAAUCCCCAGAACCUAUGAAUAUUUUGCCUUGCAUGAGAAAAGGGACUUUGCAGAUGUGACUAAAUGAAGGAUCUUGAGAUAGGGAGGUUAUCCUGGGUUAUCCAGAGGGGCCCAAUGUAAUCACAAAGGUCCUUAUAAAAGAGAGGUUGGGUUGGACGUGGUGGCUCACACCUGUAAUCCCAGCACUUUGGGAGGCCGAGGUGGGUGCAUCACUUGAAGGUCAGGAGUUUGAGACCAGCCUGGCCAACGUGGUGAAACCCCCAUCUCUACUAAAAAUACAAAAAUUAGCCGGGCAUGGUGGCAAGUGACUGUAGUCCCAGCUACUCGGGAGGCUGAGGCAGGAGAAUCGCUUGAACCCAGGAUUGUGCCAUUGCACUCCAGCCUGGGCAACAAGAGCAAAACUUCAUCUCAAAAAAAAAAGAGAGGCUGGAGGGUCAGACAUAGAGAAGAGACAUGAACACAAAAGCAGAGGUUGGAGUCAUCCCCUUUGAACGUGGAGGAAGGGGCCAUGACCCCAGGAAUGCAGAUGGUCCCUGGAAGCUGGAAAAGACAUAGACACGGAUUUUCCACUUGAACUUCUAGAAGGAACCCGCCCGGCCAACACCUUAACUUUAUCCCAGUGAGUCUGACUUUGGACUUCUGACCUCCAGACCUGUGUGAUUUGUAUUACAUUUAUGUGAUUUGUAGCCACUCAAUCUGUGGUCAUUUGUUACAGCAACCACAGGGAAGCACUACAUGUCCUAAUCCUCCCUCCAGUCUUGUUCCCCCUCAGCCUGUUCCCCACAUCACCCCAAACACAAAUAUGAUCUGUCCCAUUCCCCACUGAAAACACUUCAGUGACUUCCUGCAUCCUUAGGAUAAAUUGCAAGCUCCUUACAAGACCCCAUCACCCGGCUCCCACCAGUUCAUGUUCUGAUCAUAAUGAAUUUUAUGUCAUGCUCUCUCCUGUUAAACUGGAUGCUCUGUUUAGGACACAUUUUCCUCCUCUCUGUCCAGACUCCUCUAAGUCCUCUUCAGUUCUCAACUUAGACAUCAUUUCCUCAGGGAGCUGGUCCCUGGCCCCAUUCUGAGUUCAGUCCCUCUGUUGAAGACGACACUGUAAUUCCGCUAUCAUAGCCCCGACCUGCUUCAUGUUGGGACAUGAAGUCAGAGACUGCACAUCCAUCUGGUUGGCCACUCUGCACCCAGCACCUUGCCUGCUGCCUGGCACACACCAGGGCACAGUGAAUACAAAAGUGAACAAGGGGCAAGUCCAGGGAGACUGAGUGGAGGUGGAGUUGAGGGGCUCCAGUACUAUCUAAUCUCCCCUUGCAAAAACUGGGGGUGGAAAGUCCAUGGGGAGAGAGAUCUGGAGCAGGCUUAGGGCGGUGGGAGUCUGAAUUGCCCUCAUUUCCCUUUCUGCUCAGCCCUGGUGGGGAAGGUGCUGGGAAGGGGAGCCAGGCGUCACUGCCCCACUGCUACAAUUAGCUGAGCCUUUCAUUCUCCCUCUACAAAGAGGAGAGAGAAAAUCAAAGGGAGAUAAAAGUGAAUGUCCCACAAAGGACAUCGAGAUGAGGGGGAAGGAAGGGAGGGUGGUGGGAGUGAGAGGCAGAGGCAGAGAGAACGCCCUGCGGCCCAAACAAAAGCCUAAAACCAGCGGAUCCCAAGCAUCAGACGGUAGAGACAUAAGGACAGGAAGAGACUGGGCCGCGUGGGGAUCGGGCAGCCCAUCAGCCAAGGAGGAGAGGGAAUGAAGAAAGAUAAAACGCCUAUGUGAAUGGCCAGGGAAGAGGGUGGACAGGGACCCCGGAUGGAGUGAGGACAAAAGCAUGAAAAGACAAGAUCGCCACCAUCCCGCUGGAGUGUGACGGCGCAAUCUCAGCUCACCGCAAUGUCCGCCUCCCAGGUUCAAGCGAUUCUCCUGCCUCAGCCUCCUGAGUAGCUGGGAUUACAGGUAUGUGCCACCAUGCCCAGCUAAUUUUUGUGUUUUUAGUGGAGACAAGGUUUAUCCAUGUUGGUCAGGCUGGCCUUGAACUCCUGACCUCAGGUGAUCCACCCGCCUCAGCCUCCCAAAGUGCUGGGAUUAUAGGCGUGAAUCACCGCACCUGGCCUGAGCCACCGCUCCUGGCCAGAGGUGCCCUUUACAGCCAGACUAAGAGGACCUUAGACACACCCAGGGGCAUGCUUUCGUCUCCUCAUGAGGCUAUGCCAGGUUGAAGAACCCCGACCUUGGGAAAUGUAUUCCUGUGAGGAGAGAGGCCGGUUAAACCCUCUGCUCAGAGCUAAGGCAAGGCCUGCUCUGUCCUUUUGUUCUGUAGGGAAUGCACAUCUGACAAUUACCCUAGCUGUGGGCAGAUCCUUAGAAGGAUGUGAGACCAGGGAGAAGUGGCCUGAGAGUGCCUUGGGGCUCAGAAGGUCCCCCAUAAGAAAGCCUGAAGAUCACUCUCUCUCCGAAGGGAGAAGGCAGGCCUGAGAGGCAAGGAAGCAGACUGGGAACGGGGCCGCAGGGGACUCAGAGCCAGCGUACCUGGUCAUUGCAGGAACACACACAUCUCCACGUUCCAAAGCCCCUCUGAGGGGCCCAGGUCUUCACUCAGAUUGUCUGAACAGCCCCACCAGAUUCCAGCUCGGCCAUCAGGAGCAAAGGAUCAGCCCGUGUCCUCACUUAGGACUGAGCAGCAAGGCGAACCCUACCUUCGCGGCCCUCCUCGUGCUGGGUGCAGUUCAGACUGUGGGCUUGGGGGGAACCUGUGGUUGUGCUUGGCAACCUCCAGAGUUGACUGGCCUUGGAGGGUCUCAGGCUGAGUCGGGGGCUAUUUUUAGUUCAUUUAAUCAUUUAGUUGCUUACUGUCUUUUAUAUCGUUUUAAUAAUCUUUUUUAUUUCUUUUAAUUUACUUUGUCUCUUUUAUUGUCUGCUAUAUUAUUUUUUCUCUUCCUGUUUUCUAUUUUUUCAUCUUAAUAAACUGGAUGCUGGGAGUCUAGGCCUCUGGGGAGAUCCAUGAGGCAGCCCUUGCCCCCAGGCAAAUGAAGCCGGAUGCUCUGCCCUCUCUGAUGGCCCCCAAAUCCCCUUACCAGGCACCUCACAUCCCCAUUGACUCUGCUGACUCGUAAAAACCUCCACCAGUGGAAUUCAGGAGCCCCCAGGCCAGAGUUGUCCCCAGGGUGAUGAUAAUAUAUUUACCUACACUUACACACAUUUGAAGUAUAGGAAAAUGUUGGUAACCCUUUUGCUAUUGUUUUUGUUUGUUUUUUGAGAUGGAGUCUUGCUCUGUCACCCAGGCUGGAGUCCAGUGGUGCAAUCUCGGCUCACUGCAAGCUCCGCCUCCCAGGUUCGUGCCAUUCUCCUGCCUCAGCCUCCCCAGCAGCUGGGACUACGGGUGCCUGCCACCAUGCCCAGCUAAUUUUUUUGUAUUUUUAGUAGAGAGGGUUUCACCGUGUUAGCCAGGAUGGUCUCGAUCUCCUGACUUCAUGAUCCGCCCACCUCGGCCUCCCAAGGUGCUGGGAUUACAGGCGUGAGCCACUGUGUCCAGCCACCCUUUUGCUAUUUUUAUAAUUAGAAAGUUAAUACAUGCUCAUCAUCAAAAAAUAUAAAUCUAAAAGUGUAUGAAGUAGAAAAUGUAAGUCCUCUGUUUCCCCCAAAUCCUUGGGAGAAACCUUGCUAAGAUAAUACAUGUGUGGAACUAAAUCUGCAGCCUAGAUAUACACUUACCCAUUUAAAAUUUGAUAGGUGGCUGGGCACAGUGCUUCAUGCCUAUAAUCCCAGCACUUUGGGAGGCAGAGGCAGGCAGAUCACCUGAGGUCAGGAGUUUGAGACCAGCCUCACCAACAUGGUGAAACCCCAUCUCUACUAAAAAUACAAAAAUUAGCUAGGCGUGAUGUUGCACGCCUGUAGUCCCAUCUACUCAGGAGGCUGAGGCAGGAGAAUCACUUGAACCUGGGAGGUGCAGGUUGUAGUAAGCCGAGGCUGCGCCACUGUACUCCAGCCUGGGCAACAGAGUGAGACACGGACUCAAAAAAUAAAAUAAAAUAAAAUUUAAUAGGUGGCUGGGCAUGGUAGCUAACGCCUGUAAUCUCAGCACUUUUGGAGGCUGAGGCAGGUGGAUUGCUUGAGCUCAGGAGUUCAAGACCAGCCUGGGCAACAUGGUGAGACCCUGUCUUUACCAAAAAAAAAAAAAAUACAAAAAGUUAGCCAAGCAUGGUGAUGUGCACCUGUAGUCCCAGCUACUUGGGAGGCUGAGGUGGGAGGAUCACUUGAGCCCAGGAGGUGGAGGUUGCAGUGAGCCAUGAUUGCGCUACUGCACAAUUGCAACAUUGCACUCCAGCCUGGACCACAGAGUGAGAUCUUGUCUCAAAAAAAAAUAAAAAUAAAAAUUGAUAGUUAAGGCCAAAUUGUCCUUCAGAAAUACUAAGCCAAUUUAUAUUUCUACCAACAGUUUAGGAAAGGGUCCCUUUUCCCUUUGCCUGCACCCUCACCAGCCUUCACCAACACAGCAGCAGGGCUAACCUAGACUUUUGGAAAUUGUUCCUGUAUCUGCCUACCCUUGUUUACCACCCCACCCCAUUCUCAGGCUAUUGGGAUUCAGGGUCGAUGGGAAUGACUCUCGUCCGUUAAUCACCAGGAGAUGCAACAUCCUUGCUGGGCAAGGCUCCUGCUGUGGACUCCUGCUGUGGACUCCCCCCACCGACCAGCACCGUAGGCCAGCUGCUGCCCCUACGAAGGACAUGCCAAUGAGCUCCCUGCAGUCUUGCAGAAGCAAAAACUUGCCCACUCAAGCAGGAGACCCCAGGCAUGCUUGAAGGUGGGCAGGUGCCUGUCUUCAUGUUCAAGUGGGCAGACACCCACCAAAUGCCAAAUGUGAGUCAUGCCUGUGAGUCCCUCAGAAUUUCUCCCAGAUCCUGACCCUCCCACCACAUCUAACAGCAUCGCGUUGCUCCGGGGAAUCCAAGUACUGUGUGUGCGCCCGGCAGGGGCCUGUGGUUAGGAAGGUGGGUGUUCCUGCCAGCCCACUGCUGCUGGGUGGAGAGUCCAAGGAGGGGCAGGGAGGGAGGGAGGUGUUGGUUGCAUAGUCAGCUUCAGAGAUACUCCAUCUGCAGGUGAGAGAGGACGGAUGGGAGGCAGCCCAAGCUAAGGGUAAACAGAUGUGGAGAUCAGGUGGGACCAGGUGGAAGAAGCAGCAGAAAUGAGGUGAGAGGGUGAGGAGGAAAGCUGGCUGGAAGGAGGCCCCCACAUACCCAGGACCUGAGUGCCAGCUGGCUCUUCAAGUCCAGGCAGCUGGUGGAAAGGUGAGAGCUAGUCAGUAUCCCAGAUAACUGGUUUGACGUUUCCUCUCUGAGUUAAUUGAACAGUUAACUUUGGCCACAGAAAACAGCCCUGAAUUUUAUUACUUGGAAGUUAAGACAGACUUUCUCUUUUCCUUCUGCUUCCUCAAUGAUGUGGCUUUCUGUGGGACAAACCUCCCAGAAAGAGAGAGAGAGAGAGAGAGAGAGAGAGAGAGAGAGAUGUUAGUGGCCAUAGUCCAUGGCAGCAGGUGCCUGGGUAGACCAUCA